AGCGAACGCUGGCGGCAGGCCUAACACAUGCAAGUCGAACGAACUCUUCGGAGUUAGUGGCGGACGGGUGAGUAACACGUGGGAACGUGCCUUUAGGUUCGGAAUAACUCAGGGAAACUUGUGCUAAUACCGAAUGUGCCCCCCGAUUCAUUUUGGGGUGGGAAAGAUUUAUCGCCUUUAGAGCGGCCCGCGUCUGAUUAGCUAGUUGGUGAGGUAAAGGCUCACCAAGGCGACGAUCAGUAGCUGGUCUGAGAGGAUGAUCAGCCACAUUGGGACUGAGACACGGCCCAAACUCCUACGGGAGGCAGCAGUGGGGAGUCUUCCACAAUGGGCGAAAGCCUGAUGGAGCAACGCCGCGUGCAGGAUGAAGGCCUUCGGGUUGUAAACUGCUUUUAUGAUUGAGGAAUUUGACAGUAGAUCAUGAAUAAGGAUCGGCUAACUACGUGCCAGCAGCUGCGGUCAUACGUAGGAUCCGAGCGUUAUCCGGAGUGACUGGGCGUAAAGAGUUGCGUAGGCGGUUUGUUAAGUGAAUAGUGAAAUCUGGUGGCUCAACCAUACAGGCUAUUAUUCAAACUGGCAAACUCGAGAGUGGUAGAGGUCACUGGAAUUUCUUGUGUAGGAGUGAAAUCCGUAGAUAUAAGAAGGAACACCGAUGGCGUAUGCAGGUGACUGGACCAUUUCUGACGCUAAUGCACGAAAGCGUGGGGAGCGAACCGG
rnacentral:rRNA from 1 species